AUUGUAUAGAAGUGUUGCACACCUCUUGCACACAGCAGGCUUUCAAAAAAAAGUCAGCAAAAAAUGGGGGGCCUGUGCCCCAGUAGAGAUUUAUGUCUAGCAACGCCCCUGGUCUUAACUGUAAUUCCAUUACAGGCCCUAAAGAGCUUCAUCAAACAUCCAUAGGCCUUAGAAAGAAAAACACAAACAUUGACUAAAUUCAGAGGUGGAAGUAACGAAUUACAACUACUCACGUUACUGUAAUUAAAGAGCACCAAUUAUGCUAAUAAAUUGGCACGUUAGCACGUUAUUGCAAUAUCCCAUAGUACAUACAUGUUAUUAAAACUUGAACUAAUGCAUUGUGAGUCUUAUAAAUUGCUUACAUACCUCACCGAUUUCCCACUGUCUGGAAAACGCUCGGUUUAGUUCCUGUCUCCGCCUCCCAAAAUGUCUAGUGUAAUCGGAUUGGUCAGAUGACUACUCAACUGUUAUUGGUCAGCUGGGUUCGGCUUGUGUUUGAAAGGUUACGCCCCUGACUACGCAUGGGUUGACACAGAUUCUGACUGAGAGUCACAGCCUCAGAGGCAUCGUAAACAAGCGUUAUAUUUCUCUAUAAACGAUGGUGUCUGUACUGCCUUACCACUUCGAGCUCGAUCCAGAGAGUUCAGAAGGUCGUUACGAUAUAAACGAUCUCCGUCAAUGAAUGCGAUUGGAUUUAACUUUUUUAGGUGUCCUUAGCUCUGCCAGAAUGCUAAACGAAGACGAAAAUGUGUUGCAAAGACAUCCAAAAGGUAAUUAUAACGUACUACAUAACUAUAUGGAAACACCAAAUGUAGCACAUAGAAAGUAUUUGUUGAAAUGAUUAUAAAACGAUUUCACUUGGUAAUUUCUACAUUAUUUUACUCUAGUAAAAUUUAUUAUAAGACUGCUUACAUACUGUAUUACUGUGCAAACUAUAUGGAAACACCAAAUGUAGCACAUAUAAAGUAUUUGUUGAAAUGAUUAUAAAACGAUUUCACUUGGUAAUUUCUACAUUAUUUUACUAUAGUAAACUUAAUUAUAAAAUACUGCUUACAUACUAUUUUACUGUGCAAACUAUAUGGAAACACCAAAUGUAGCACAAAAAAAGUAUUAAUUGAAAUGAAUGUUAGUUCUACAUUAUUUUACUAUGGUAAACUUUAUUAUGAAAGACUGUGCUAUGUUUUUACUUACUAGGUUUUAAGGAGAAUGCAACAUGUUCCAGGGCCUCUUACCUGCGUGAUUCAUCAUCCAGGUUUUGCACAAAUUGUCUAAAUCCCUACACACAGAACAUUUAUUGUACCGAAUAUAAGCCUUUGAGGCGCAGGACUAGAAUACGCUUGGAGCUUCCUGAUCGGAAUGUUGGCUUCCGACGACCCCUGCACUGAAGAUGGCAUGCAAUCACGUCCUCCUUUGAAGGUCUCUCAAACUGUGAUGCCAGGUCCAUUGGAAUCGGGGUUUCCUUCAGCUUAUCUUCAAAUACCUCAGCAAACACAAGCCUGAUCACAUCAUCCACAUAACUGUAGAAAUAUUGCGGUCAAUAAAUCUUUUGUUUUGAUCAUUUAUUUCCCUGCUUCAUACAUUAAGUUUUUAAUUAUGAAUGUAUUUGAAAUAAAACAUUACUGCUUA